rnacentral:lncRNA from 1 species
UAUGGUAUAAUGUGCUUUUGUGAUUAGGAAUUUUUAGAUGUGGAUUGCAAACCUAAUGUGAGUCCCUGCUGUUUUAAAUCAUGUGAGUCCCUGCUGUUUUCAAACCUCUUUUCAGAGAGACUGCUUGUUUGUUUUGCUUGAGGACAAGCAAAAGGGUAAGUCUAGUGGAGUUGAUAGACCAUGGAUUUGACCCACUUUUAUCAUGGUUUAUAAGUGUUUUAACUACUAAUUAUUAUAUUAUAGAAUCAAUUUAGAAUAUUUAUAGGAUCAUGAGUGAUUUGGAGAUAAGUGAUAAUUUUGGAGCAUUUUGGAGAUAUUUGGAGCAAGCAUCCGAGAUGACCAUCGAGCUCGACCAUCGGUCGAUACUGAAGAGGAAUAAUCGAUCGAUGUUCAUGUCUUGACAUCGAUAGACAGCUAAGCGCGCAUAAAGCUCAAUUGGU